UACGUAGGGGGCAAGCGUUGUCCGGAAUCAUUGGGCGUAAAGCGCGCGUAGGCGGCCCGAUAAGUCUGCUGUGAAAGUCCAGGGCUCAACCCUGGAAUGCCGGUGGAUACUGUCGGGCUAGAGUCCGGAAGAGGAGAAUGGAAUUCCUGGUGUAGCGGUGAAAUGCGCAGAUAUCAGGAAGAACACCCGUGGCGAAGGCGGUUCUCUGGGACGGUACUGACGCUGAGACGCGAAAGCGUGGGGAGCGAACAGG
rnacentral:rRNA from 1 species